GUGCUACCAGAAUGAUUGUUUUCUCCACAGGAAAGCUUUUCCUCAGUGACCAUCGCUGCAUGUACGUGUUUUAAUUGUGUAAUCAGAUGGACUGAGGAAAGCCAACAGCCAUAGCAGAUUUCUCUUUGGUCUGUGUGUGUGUGAAGUGGGCUGUGUGCUGGAGAGGGAGAGACGCUGUCGGAGCGUGGCGACAGCGCCAGCUGUGAGCUCUGAGGAUGAUGAGGGCUCCGAGCAGCCCCAGCCCUGAGCUGCGAGGAUGAGGAGGGGGCGGCUCCUGCCGGGAGGAGGCUGUUUUAGGGGGGAAGGGGUUGCCUGAGCUCCCUUUUGCCUGGAGCUGCUGAGCAGAGGGGUUUAGGGGGGCUCCCGGCGCUGUCUCGUGGAAGGACGCCGAGAGCUUCUCCGAGGGUCUGGGGGAACACCUGGAUACGCCCUUGGAUGCGUGGAGCAUCGCUCAAAGGAGGUGCCGAGGAACAAAGCUCCGUGCCGGGAAGCAGCAGCCGAACAGUUAUUUUACAGAAAUAGGUGAUCAAAGCUUAGAAGAACCUGUAGCAAAUCCUGUUUGCUUGACACUUGGAGCAGUUGGCAUCCAGCCUGGUGUCCUGAGGAUGUGCUUCCAAGGGAAAAAACUGAGAGAGCUGGUGGCCAGGGAAAAGAUUUUGAAACAGCUCUAAGAGGUGUUCCAAGGCCGAAGUUUCUAUGCAACCCAGGUGUAAAAUGAGAUGUUUGCUGCACCUGAUCCACUAUUGAUCAAAUGGAACAAGCACUGGAGGAGAAAAUACAAGCCUGUUUUCCUAAAUAGCUGCAUUGUCCUUGGCACUGUGCUGAAAGAGGUGUGAAAGAGUGCUCACUUUCCUUUAACAACUCUAUUCUCUGUGUUUUCCAAAGGCUUUCAACAAAUGGAUUGAAAUCGCUUAUCUGUCAUGGGCAUUUCCAACAUGCUGGAAGUGUUUCAGUACUCUGGAGAAUAUGUGUGCCUUUCCUGAAAUACACCCUUUUGUUGGCUCUUCAGAUAUUGCUGGAAUCAUGGACAUGGGCAGCUUUACCUAGGUUCCUGAAAACUACUUAUGAACCUUUUUCCCUUGGAAAAUGUUACAUUAACAGACCUCUAUAUGCAAUAUUUGGAAACAACUGAAAUGCUUAUAAGAGAUGAUAAGAAAUAGAAAAUAUAUUUUGCCCUUCUACUGCAGUCAAUAACACCUCUCUGAAGUUGAUGCUUAUUUGUUUUAUACUCUGCAAUGAGCAAGGUCUUGUACAAUCAGGUUUUAUUUUUAUGUUAUUUCUUGUAAUUUAUUCAUAAAAUCCAACAUGUAAAUUUUAGUACCUGCAGUUAAGUCCAGUCUGUUGGGCCUUAGUGCAUCCAAGGGGUGUUUCAGGCCAUGUGUGAGCAGUAUUUUCACAACUGGGUGUUUUGUUUGGAUGGAGUGACCUUGACAUGAUUCUUUGAGCCCUAGAUUUUUAUUGUGUUCAUAGUGGAAACCUUUAUCCUGCUCCCUGUAGUGAGUGCUGGUGUGCUGUCUGCUCUGGGCCUGAGACCGGAGCCCUUCUCUCAGAGUAAGAUGCAGGGUACUGGGGUUGGUUUGUCCCUUUUCAAAGAGUCACUGGUGAUUCUGGUGCAAAAAGUAUGGAGAAUGUUGCAGAAAAAAACAGUACAAAAAUAGGGUGUGGAGUCUUGGAGUGAUGGGAAAGGACUGGCUUUUCUAUGCUUAUAUAUGUUUGUGCAGAUGAUGAUGUUCAUAGCUGUGUGUUUUAGAGCUGUUGUACCUGAGCCUGAAAAUGGAGCUGUGGCAUAAACCGGACUAAAUUUCAGCAAGAAACAAUAAAUUCACUGAAAAUAUUGUGAUGGGACCUGUCCUAUUAUGUCAGCCCCCUGACACAAGCUGCAGGUACUCUGUACUUGGCAACUUCUGUGGCGUCUGGAGGAUUUUUGUAUGGAAGUUCUGCCACAUGGCUGACCAGGGACUGAGGUUUUGUGUAGUAGCAGGGCGAUGCCCAGACCCUGACUGAGUGUGGUUUACUCUUAACACAUUGCCUUGCUGCAAUGGCAGUUGCUAUUAAAUUUAUCAAAGAAUUAUUAACACUAAACCAAAAUAUCUACAUAGAAAUCACUGUCGAGUUUCUCUCAACAAAGCACCAGUGAUGGCACCAGAGGAACAGGCAGUAACUGAUGCCUGGGAAUUCCCCCUGCACAGGAGGCAGAACUUCUUCCCUGGGCACUGCCUGAGCCCUGAACAGAUUGUCCACAGAGGGUGUGCAGCUCUUAAAUUCAUGCUAAAAUAGCUAAAAACAGUGAGAGGAGGAGUGACCCAGAAGAACAAAAAAUAUUGGCCUGUAGAUAGAAUUUCGAGUGUUCUGGCACAGAUGAACAUAGAAAUUAGUCUAGAGGGAAUGCAAAAAACCAGGGAACAUUUGGAAGAGAAAGCACAAUAAAUGGGAAAAACUGGCAAUGAACAGCCAUCUUAAAUUAACUGCAACCUUGUGUUAAGUCUUCUGUUUUGUUGAUUCUCACUUCAGAUUUAUGUGACACCUGAUAUGUUUUAGUUUCUCAAUAAAGCAUAAUCUUGCAUUAAGAUAAUGUAAAAUUGAAAAAAAUUAUUAAGAAAAAGUAUGUAUCUAGGCAUCUGAACUGUGUUCAUGUGUAUUUUUUUCAUAGUGUAAUGACUGUUAACUACUGCAGACUGUUAUGCAGAAAACCCCAUGCUCUGCUUCAUCGUGUGCAAAACCCCCAAGUGACUAAAAAUAUACAAAUAGAUUUAAGAAAUAAUAAAGUAGCUAAUAAGGAGUAAA